rnacentral:rRNA from 1 species
UACGUAGGGACCAAGCGUUGUCCGGAAUCAUUGGGCGUAAAGCGCGUGUAGGCGGUCCGGUAAGUCCGCUGUGAAAGUCGGGGGCUCAACCCUCGGAUGCCGGUGGAUACUGUCGGGCUUGAGUACGGAAGAGGCGAGUGGAAUUCCUGGUGUAGCGGUGAAAUGCGCAGAUAUCAGGAGGAACACCAAUUGCGAAGGCAGCUUACUACCCGAAUAUUGACACUGAGGCACGAAAGCGUGGGGAUCAAACAGG